rnacentral:rRNA from 1 species
UACGAAGGGGGCUAGCGUUGUUCGGAAUCACUGGGCGUAAAGGGUGCGUAGGCGGGGUCUUAAGUCAGGGGUGAAAUCCCGAGGCUCAACCUCGGAACUGCCUUUGAUACUGGUGUGCUUGAGUCCGGAAGGGGUGAGUGGAACUGCGAGUGUAGAGGUGAAAUUCGUAGAUAUUCGCAAGGACACCGGUGGCGAAGGCGGCUCGCUGGUCCGGAACUGACGCUGAGGCACGACAGCGUGGGGAGCAAACAGG